rnacentral:rRNA from 1 species
GCACUGGUCAAUCUAGUGGCGAACGGGUGAGUAACACGUGGGUAACCUGCCCAUCAGAGGGGGAUAACAUUCGGAAACGGAUGCUAAAACCGCAUAGGUCUUCGAACCGCAUGGUUUGAAGAGGAAAAGAGGCGCAAGCUUCUGCUGAUGGAUGGACCCGCGGUGCAUUAGCUAGUUGGUGAGGUAACGGCUCACCAAGGCCGUGAUGCAUAGCCGACCUGAGAGGGUGAUCGGCCACAUUGGGACUGAGACACGGCCCAAACUCCUACGGGAGGCAGCAGUAGGGAAUCUUCCGCAAUGGACGCAAGUCUGACGGAGCAACGCCGCGUGAGUGAAGAAGGUUUUCGGAUCGUAAAACUCUGUUGUUAGAGAAGAACAAGUGCUAGAGUAACUGUUAGCGCCUUGACGGUAUCUAACCAGAAAGCCACGGCUAACUACGUGCCAGCAGCCGCGGUAAUACGUAGGUGGCAAGCGUUGUCCGGAUUUAUUGGGCGUAAAGCGAGCGCAGGCGGUUCCUUAAGUCUGAUGUGAAAGCCCCCGGCUCAACCGGGGAGGGUCAUUGGAAACUGGGGGACUUGAGUGCAGAAGAGGAGAGUGGAAUUCCAUGUGUAGCGGUGAAAUGCGUAGAUAUAUGGAGGAACACCAGUGGCGAAGGCGACUCUCUGGUCUGUAACUGACGCUGAGGCUCGAAAGCGUGGGUAGCAAACAGGAUUAGAUACCCUGGUAGUCC